CAGGGAGACAACAAAAUGUUUAAUAUUAUUAUUUUGUCACCUUAGGUCGAUCGGUAUCUCACGUUCUUAAUUAAUUAAGAAUUUCAUUUCCUAAGUUUUUCUAGGUCACACCCAUUAUUUUUCCUGGGCCAUUAGCUCAGGUGGUUAGAGCGCACCCCUGAUAAGGGUGAGGUCCCUGGUUCAAGUCCAGGAUGGCCCAUAUCUCUAUGUUGGGGGUAUAGCUCAGUUGGUAGAGCGCCUGCUUUGCAAGCAGGAUGUCAGCGGUUCGAGUCCGCUUACCUCCACUGAUUACCACCUCUUCCAUAAUCUGUAGAAAGGAAAAUUUUUGAGUUGUGAUCAUAAUUCUGAACGAAUCUAGCUUCCUAAUGAAACCAUUAAGAUGCUGGACUCAUUGAAUUAAUUUCAUUGUUUUCAGAGAACCUUGACAACUGCAUAGAUUAUUUUUAAAGACAAUAAGCAUCUUUAUGAUGCAGAUUUAUUAUUUGUGCGAAUGCAUUAAUAACAAUUCUAUUAAGCUGAUGCUUCAAUUUUGAAGUUAUU
rnacentral:tRNA from 1 species